AUUAGACAAAAAUAAAACCGUGUGAAUCGCACGCGGAGACUUGAGGAAAAAGAACAGAAAUAUUAAUACAUUCAAAGAAAUGCGGAGGAUCGUACGCAGUCGGCACAACCUUCGCUGCUGCGGAACGAACGAAUCUCGACGUUUUACAGCUCGUGCAGCAAACGAGUAAAAAUGAAAGGUCGGGAUUACGGCAUUGAAAACGAAGACCAUCGGUCAAUCAAAAAUCAAAUCCGUAGAGAUUGUGCAAUGUGGAUUUCUUAUUCUUCGAUUUACGGUUGAGUCUAAAUCCCAUUUCUCAUUCUCGAUAUUCUUAGAGAAAAUAAUUGUGAGGAUUUCAAUUUCUGUCUGCAGAAAAGUUCGACCUCUUGAUUUCGGAAAUUGAGCGUUUCGUGGGCAAAAAGCUGUUUUGCAUCGGGAGACUCGGCAAAGUUCCUAUAAAGCGUCGUGUACAUUAACGUUGUUUUUUUUGUCCGGCUGGCACAGACAGAAGUGAGGUAACGUAAUCGAGGUAAUAUAUAAUUCUGGCUACGGCCGGCGAGUAUCCGCCGUUCAUAACGAGGAAAUCAAUCAAAGUAUUUCUCUGGAUAAAUGAUCGGCUGACCGUCGCGCCCUAGAGAUUUGGAUCGCAGCGCGCAAACUUUCAAAGUCUAACAUAAAUCAUAUCGCAUUAUACCGUAGAGUUCCGCGCGCUUCGCUCGUAUUCGAUUACCGAACCAGACUCACUCGUCAGUCGCGAACGUAACUUUUCAAUUAGGAAAAGUCGCUUGAAUUUUUAUAAGGAAAAAAAUAAAAAGUCAUCACCCCACGAACAUCCGACCGGCGUACAUUGAAAUUUCGAAAGUUUCGAAGUAACGCGCGAGGGCUCGCGCGGUCUUCUUUUCAAAUUUGAUAAAAAGUACAUCUCGUUACACAGCGAUCGUUCGACUUGAAUGAUAAAUCGCUAAUUGGGUCAAUUAAAUCGGUCCACCGUGUGGCGUAUACCGCGUUAUUUUCAUUUCGUGUACACGCGUAGGUACAUUCGCAGAACGUUCACGAAGGAGAUAAAAACCUGCUGGACCAGUUAUUUCCGUUGCCGUUUAUACGAGUACGCGUUUAAUUCUCGACCAUUCAUUCCUCGCCGCUACGAACAAUUCCUUCCUCGCGUCGUUCGUUAACCGGAGAAUCACUAUAAACCGUAUGCCCUUUACAUGGUCGACGGCGAAAACCGGAAGUCCAUUUUCGCGUCGUACGUAGGAGUAGAAACGAGAAUUCCGAUUCGGGGUCUCCCCAUUUGAAUAUCUCACCGCAGAUAAGGCAGCUGACUUUACUCUCACCUGAUCUCAUCUACGCGCGACCUUAUAGUGCGUAAUAACAGCGACUCACCGUGCGUCCUAGAUUAAAUCGAGAAUUUAAAACCGAAAGAAAAAAAAAAAGGGAGGUCUCUCCGGUCGCGAUCCAAAAUUGAUAAACCCGCGAAACGCCGUCUUUCGAACCCCCUGGUGGUCGGAUAGCCGCGUGCGACGCAGCUAAUUUAAAAGGUGUCCAAUUUCAAUCGAUUUUUGUACACAGAAAUAAUUACUCUGAUCAGGACGAGCGAUCGAAGCUCUUGUUGAUACCGCGAAUAAUUUUUUCGGAUUUAUGCGCUGAAUGUCGCUGUAAAAUUUUCCAUUUUUCGCUUUUUAUUACCGAGGAACAAACGCGUUUUAAACGAGAUGCACCGUGUAUAAAUUUCGAAGUUACUCGAUAGAGGACGAGCAAGAUGACGAAAAAAAAAGACGAAGGAUGAGAAGAAGAGGAGGAAGGAGAAUAAGAAGAGGAACAUUUUCAUGGGCAUCGGUGGUACGGUGCGGCAAAUUAAUGCGAAGAUUGUGGAAUAAUUUCGAAGUGCCUCGAGCACCGAGAUAAAAAUUAAUAAUUUAUGAAGUCGGGCGUUUUUUGGUCGGGUCGAGUGAUCUCGGCGCGCAAUUAAAAUAGAAAAUAUAUUAAUUAUCAUCGAUCUAUGGGAUCCCAUGGAGCUUCUCCCAAAUUGACUUUCUGUUUAUACGUGCGGGAUCGUCGACAUCGAUUAUCAGGCCCAUCCUCGAGAAGAAAGUUGAAAAAUUCAAUCCGGUGUGACAGUAUCCAUUUAAAUAUGACGACGGAACAAUCUGCAGGGGACCGCUGAGAAACUGGUUGACGGAUAAUUCGCAGUCGGCAGCUGAAAAUCCGCGAGGGGAUUAUAAUCGACCGCGGAAAGCGCGAACUGAAUCCAAGAUGAUACCCUCAAAGCAUCUCCGCCCUGCAACUAGUAAACAAGACUCGUCGGUGCAUCUGCGUAGUUGUUCAUUAUAAUUGUAAGCCAGAUAAGAAUAGAUCCGAAUACGUUAGUUAUCACAUAGCCAUAAAUGAUACUUCCUGCAAUAAUUGUGAUGAGACUUUGAUUGUGAAUGAAGAAUUCUGUCAAUAUGAUUGUAACAUAUUUGCUGUAAAAAAAACUACUUUAUGAGAAUAAAUACAUGACA